UUUUUUUUCGCAAAGUUAGACCAUUCUUACAGAGAUGGCGCUACUAACACUGUUUUAUUUAUAAAUGCACCAGUUAAUUUUGAUAUUUGCUUAAACAUUUAUUGUUGUUUAUUUGGUAAUGGGGGCAAGUCUUUUUCGCAAUUUUUUUUUAGUCGAUAAUCGACAACAUCUGGUACUGGAAAAAACCAUUAACUUUAAAUGAAUUAUUGGAAGAGGUUGAAAAUAUUGAUAACAAAAUUCCCUCUCCGGAUGCGAUUGUGAUUCUGCCACCAACAAAUGCUAAUGGCUAUAUCACAGACGAGGACUCUGGCGACGAUGACCAGGUCACAAUGAACAAUCUUCCCGGUAGUUUGCUUAAUUCUGGGGCUGAACCUGUUUUUAAAGCAACCAGUCACGCAAUCGAUGACAAUAAGGAUAACUUAGAUGAUAGUGAUGAUGAUGUGCCUCUAUCUAGUUUUAUGAAAUAUAAGAAAAAGUGUAGGAAUAAUGACUGGGUUCGACAGGACAUUACAGAUACUUUACCGAUCUGCCACGACGAGGUCACUCCAAUAAAUAAUAUUCUUUCACCCUUAAAUAUUUUCAACUUCUUUUUUGACGAAAAUCUCUGGGAUAUGUUAGUUGAAUACACAAAUAUCUAUGCGGAACAACACAAUAAAACUGGUGAUGUAUCAGCAGACGAAAUGAAGAAUUCUGACUUACAUAUAGUGGAUACUGUACUGUAUCCAGAAAAGCCCUAUAUUGGCAAAACAGCUCUGAUGGAGAUCAUAAAAUCGUAUCUGAAGCUAUUUCAAGGAACCGAUUCGAUUUUAUCAUGGAAAAUUUACAUUGUAGUAACAACCUGGAUUUGGAUAUGGAAAACAAAUUCUCAAAGAUAAAACCCUUCCUAGAACAUCUAAAUAAAAAAUGUUUGAAGUUUGCCCCACUCAAACAAAACCAUAGUAUCGACGAAUCGAUGAUACCGUAUUUUGGACGACAUGGGUCAAAACAGUUUAUAAGAGGCAAACCAAUACGAUGGGGCUACAAAUUUUGGAUGGGAACAGACAGCAGAGGUUAUAUCGAAUGGUUUGAACCCUAUCAAGGCUCAACGACUAGACUUGAUGAACGGUAUAAAGAUUUAGGUUUAGGGACGAACGUUGUUUUAACUUUUCUUGAUAAAAUUACGUCGGAAAAAGGUCGUUUGCCAUUUCAUCUGUUUUUUGAUCAUUUUUUUACCUCUUGGGAUUUGCUUUUAAUUUUAAGAGACAGGUGUAUUAGAGCAACUGGUAGUCUAAGAGAAAAUCGAAUAGCAGUUCCUAUAAUAAAAUCUAGUACAGACCUAAAAAAAGAACACAGAGGUGCGUUUGAAUAUGCUUUAGAGAAAACCGAAAAUAUUAUAGUUUGCCGCAUGAAUGACAACAACACUGUUACUAUAGCUUCAAAUUGUGAAUCUGUAUGGCCUUCAAGCAGUGUUUCUCGAUUUUCUCAAAAAGAAAAGAAAAAAAUAAAUGUUCCUCAACCAAAACUAAUAAAGAUUUACAACCAAAACUUGGGAGGUGUAGAUAGAGCUGAUCAAAAUAUUAGUCUUUAUCGUGUAAGUAUAAGGGGGAAAAAAUGGUAU